GUGCUCGCUUUGGCAGCACAUAUACUAAAAUUGGAACGACACAGAGAAGAUUAGCAUGGCCCCUGCACAAGGAUAACACACAAAUUCGUGAAGUGUUCCAUAUUUAA
rnacentral:snRNA from 1 species